rnacentral:rRNA from 1 species
UACGUAGGGGGCGAGCGUUGUCCGGAUUUACUGGGCGUAAAACGCUUGUAGGCGGCCACGCCAAGUCGGAUGUGAAAUCUCCCGGCUUAACUGGGAGGGGUCAUUCGAUACUGGCGGGCUCGAGGCAGGUAGGGGGAAGCGGAAUUCCCGGUGUAGUGGUGGAAUGCGUAGAUAUCGGGAGGAACACCAGUGGCGAAGGCGGCUUCCUGGACCUGUUCUGACGCUGAGGAGCGAAAGCGUGGGGAGCGGACAGG